CGCGGCGUCGCUUCGACCUUUGCCCGGCGUAAAUCUUCCUUACUUAUGGGUGAGCGGCGUCGAGGAAGCAACGGUCGAGGGGGCGAGUCGGGUCGUCGCGGCUCUGCAGCCCUCAGGAGGGUACUUCAUGCUCCUCUUCCCUGGGGCGUGCGAGGAGGAGGAGGCUCUCGCUCGCCUCGUGGAGCAGCUCGGCCGCGAGGGAGUCCGGGUUAGGAGGGGAGUGGCUGCGUCUCCCCGAAUCGACGGAGGAAAAGCAGAGCGGCUGAGAGGCCUCGUGGAAAGGGGGUUGGGCGGUCUCUUUUGGACGCGGGACGAAGACUAUAUCUGGAGAUACCCUUAUUUGUGAGUGCAGUACUAGAGGGAGCUGAAGGGAGGUGGCCAGUGUUGAGCCUCGCCCUGCUGGGUAUUUUCGCCUCUGCCUUGGUCGUAGCACAAUCAUGUUAAGAUAUUUUCUUGCUUUUUAUAUAUCCUGUUUAUAAAACGUGUAGAGUUACAUGUGCUUUAUACAUAUACAGGUAAUAUGAAGAUUUAUUUACUGUCUACUGAUUAAAAUACAUUUUACAAUUUUACAAAUGUAUUAAAUGACAUGUAUUUUGAGAUAUUCCUGGGCUGUUAUUCAGAAUGAUAGACAUUAUGGCAGAUAAUUUUGCUUCAGUCAAGGGAUGUUAGUUACACAAUCCAGUGUUUUAUUAUAAGUUUUAGCUUUAGAGUUUGGCAUUUGGUAUUUUUAUGCUUCUCUUUCAUAUGGAUGCUGAUGUCAGGAGCCUUUCCUCAUUCAGGAUUUUGGUCCCUGGUAUUUUUAGUUAAGAUUUCCGUGCUGAUGAAGUUGGUUAAUAUUGAUGUGGAUUGAGUUUCCUUUCAUUACAAAUAUACAGUAAGAUAACAUGUUCCCUAUGUUGUGAGAAUAUUGAACCAAUAAAU